GUCACUGACCACACGCCCAUGGAGACGGUGGUGGACAUCUUCCGCAAGCUGGGCUUGCGCCAGUGUCUGGUCACACGCAGCGGACGUUUGCUGGGAAUCAUUACUAAGAAGGAUGUUCUGAGACACAUGGCACAAAUGAUGAACCAGGAUCCCGGAUCCAUCAUGUUCAACUAGACUCCACUGUCCGAUCUGUUAGUAAACGCAGUAAAACGUGGCCAAAAGCGGACGGCGUGAAGAUAUACCAGUGUUUUUUACUGCUGUUUUUAUCAUAUUUAUAUUUGACAUGCAUUACUUUAAGCCGUGCUGAUCAACUGUUAAACAGGUGGGAUGAAAAUGAGGUGUUUUUGAAAGCUGCUGUAUUUGAUGUGAGAUGUGCAGAGGAGGCUAUAUUAUUAUAUUCAUUUAUUAAAAGGGUCAAAAUAGAACAAAUAAUCCAGAAUACUAAUCUGCUGUAUGAUAGUGACUGUUUCAUCCAACACUAGGUUUGUGGGAAUCAUUUCUGUUGUGUUGUUAUUUAUUAAUGUUAGUUUUUAUCUACAAGAAUGGUGAGUUUUUUUUGCUGUUGUAUUGAAACAUGAAUAUUGUCCUUGUAAAAUAAACACUGCAUCUCUGUUACAGAUAUUAAUGUUCAUCCGCUGCUCCAGUUCAGCACAUAAAAAUGAGGGUAUGUUAUAAUAAUAAAAAAAUAUUGUUAUU